rnacentral:rRNA from 1 species
CAGCAGCCGCGGGAAAACGUAGGGUGCGAGCGUUAAUCGGAAUUACUGGGCGUAGAGCGUGCGCAGGCGGUUCGUUAAGACAGAUGUGAAAUCCCAGGGCUUAACCUGGGAACUGCAUUUGUGACUGGCGAGCUAGAGUAUGGCAGAGGGGGGUAGAAUUCCGCGUGUAGCAGUGAAAUGCGUAGAUAUGCGGAGGAACACCGAUGGCGAAGGCAGCCCCCUGGGCCAAUACUGACGCUCAUGCACGAAAGCGUGGGGAGCAAACAGGAUUAGAUACCCCAGUAGUCCCUGUCUCUUAUAC